rnacentral:rRNA from 1 species
UACGUAGGGGGCAAGCGUUGUCCGGAAUCAUUGGGCGUAAAGAGCGUGUAGGCGGCUCGAUAAGUCUGCUGUGAAAGUCCAGGGCUCAACCCUGGAAGGCCGGUGGAAACUGUCGGGCUAGAGUCCGGAAGAGGCGAGUGGAAUUCCCGGUGUAGCGGUGAAAUGCGCAGAUAUCGGGAGGAACACCAAUGGCGAAGGCAGCUCGCUGGGACGGUAUUGACGCUGAGACGCGAAAGCGUGGGGAGCAAACAGG